AGUGAACGCUGGCGGCAGGCCUAACACAUGCAAGUCGAACGGCAGCACAGAGGAGCUUGCUCCUUGGGUGGCGAGUGGCGGACGGGUGAGGAAUGCAUCGGAAUCUGCCUAUUUGUGGGGGAUAACGUAGGGAAACUUACGCUAAUACCGCAUACGUCCUACGGGAGAAAGUGGGGGACCUUCGGGCCUCACGCAGAUAGAUGAGCCGAUGCCGGAUUAGCUAGUUGGCGGGGUAAAGGCCCACCAAGGCGACGAUCCGUAGCUGGUCUGAGAGGAUGCUCAGCCACACUGGAACUGAGACACGGUCCAGACUCCUACGGGAGGCAGCAGUGGGGAAUAUUGGACAAUGGGCGCAAGCCUGAUCCAGCCAUGCCGCGUGUGUGAAGAAGGCCUUCGGGUUGUAAAGCACUUUUGUCCGGAAAGAAAAGCGCUCGAUUAAUACUCGGGUGUUAUGACGGUACCGGAAGAAUAAGCACCGGCUAACUUCGUGCCAGCCGCCGCUGUAAAAC
rnacentral:rRNA from 1 species